GGCGAAGCCUGACGGAGCACGCCGCGUGAGCGAAGAAGGCCUUCGGGUUGUAAAGCUCUGUUUUCGGGGAAGAAGGAAGUGACGGUACCCGAGGAGGAAGCCCCGGCUAACUACGUGCCAGCAGCCGCGGUAAAACGUAGGGGGCGAGCGUUGUCCGGAAUUACUGGGCGUAAAGGGCGCGCAGGCGGUCAUUUAAGACAGAGGUGAAAACUAUCGGCUCAACCGGUAGCCUGCCUAUGAGACUGGAUGACUUGAGGGCAGGAGAGGGGAGUGGAAUUCCCAGUGUAGCGGUGAAAUGCGUAGAUAUUGGGAGGAACACCAGUGGCGAAGGCGGCUCUCUGGCCUGUUACUGACGCUGAGGCGCGAAAGCGUGGGGAUCAAACAGGAUUAGAUACCCUGGUAGUCCACGCCGUAAACGAUGGGUGCUAGGUGUAGGAGGUAUCGACCCCUUCUGUGCCGCAGUUAACACAAUAAGCACCCCGCCUGGGGAGUACGGCCGCAAGGUUGAAACUCAAAGGAAUGGACGGA
rnacentral:rRNA from 1 species